UUUUCGCUUACUUUUCUCAGAAAUCUUUUUGAGGAAAACAAGCGAAGGGGACUUACUAACGUACCGCCUUGCCGUGCAAAUCACCGAGGCGGUGCGUUUUUGC
rfam:Lactobacillus shenzhenensis LY-73 genomic scaffold LY73.Scaffold2, whole genome shotgun sequence.